rnacentral:rRNA from 1 species
UGGGGGAUAUUGCACAAUGGGCGAAAGCCUGAUGCAGCGACGCCGCGUGGGGGAUGAAGGCCUUCGGGUUGUAAACUUCUUUUGCUCUGAACAAGGCGCACCAUGGGGUGUGUUGAGUGUAGGGGUUGAUUAGCGCCGGCUAACUACGUGCCAGCAGCCGCGGUAAUACGUAGGGCGCGAGCGUUGUCCGGGAUUAUUGGGCGUAAAGGGCUUGUAGGUGGCUGGUUGCGUCUGUCGUGAAAGCUCAUGGCUUAACUGUGGGUUUGCGGUGGGUACGGGCUGGCUUGAGUGCAGUAGGGGAGGCUGGAAUUCCUGGUGUAGCGGUGGAAUGCGCAGAUAUCAGGAGGAAUACCGGUGGCGAAGGCGGGUCUCUGGGCUGUUACUGACACUGAGGAGCGAAAGCAUGGGGAGCGAACAGG